rnacentral:rRNA from 1 species
UUUCCGGUUGAUCCUGCCGGAGGCCACUGCUAUCGGGGUUCGAUUAAGCCAUGCGAGUCGAGAGGGUUUAGACCCUCGGCGGACUGCUCAGUAACACGUGGAUAACCUGCCCUAAGGUGGAGGAUAACCCCGGGAAACUGGGGAUAAUACUCCAUAGAUUAGAGAUACUGGAAUGUUCUUUAGUCAAAAGUUCUGGCGCCUUAGGAUGGAUCUGCGGUCGAUUAGGUUGUUGUUGGGGUAACGGCCCAACAAGCCUGUAAUCGAUACGGGUUGUGGGAGCAAUAGCCCGGAGAUGGAAUCUGAGACAAGAUUCCAGGCCCUACGGGGCGCAGCAGGCGCGAAAACUUUACAAUGCAGGAAACUGUGAUAAGGGAACCCCGAGUGCCCGUAUACGCGGGCUGUCCAGGUGUUUAAAAGUCAUCUGAAGAAAGGGCCGGGCAAGACCGGUGCCAGCCGCCGCGGUAAUACCGGCGGCUCGAGUGGUGGCCACUAUUAUUGGGCUUAAAGCGUCCGUAGCUGGACUGAUAAGUCUCUUGGGAAAUCCGCCGGCUCAACCGGCGGGCGUCUAAGGGAUACUGUUGGUCUAGGGACCGGGAGAGGUGAGAGGUACUCCGGGGGUAGGAGUGAAAUCCUGUAAUCCCCGGGGGACCACCGAUGGCGAAGGCAUCUCACCAGAACGGCUCCGACAGUGAGGGACGAAAGCUGGGGGAGCAAACCGGAUUAGAUACCCGGGUAGUCCCAGCCGUAAACUAUGCGCGUUAGGUGUGCUGGUGACCACGUGUCAC